AGCGGCGGACGGGUGAGUAACGCGUAGGCAACCUGCCCCAUACAGAGGGAUAGCCUCGGGAAACCGGGAUUAAAACCUCAUAACGCGAGAGAAUUUCAUGAUUCUUUCGCCAAAGAUUUAUCGGUAUGGGAUGGGCCUGCGUCUGAUUAGCUAGUUGGUAAGGUAACGGCUUACCAAGGCGACGAUCAGUAGCCGACCUGAGAGGGUAAUCGGCCACAUUGGAACUGAGACACGGUCCAAACUCCUACGGGAGGCAGCAGUGGGGAAUAUUGCACAAUGGGCGAAAGCCUGAUGCAGCAACGCCGCGUGAGCGAUGAAGGCCUUUGGGUCGUAAAGCUCUGUCCUUGGGGAAGAAAAAAAUGACGGUACCCUUGGAGGAAGCCCCUGCUAACUACGUGCCAGCAGCCGCGGUAAUACGUAGGGGGCAAGCGUUAUCCGGAAUUAUUGGGCGUAAAGAGUGCGUAGGUGGUUUUGUAAGCGCGAGGUGAAAGGCUAUGGCUCAACCAUAGUAAGCCUUGUGAACUGUAAGACUUGAGUGCAGGAGAGGAAAGUGGAAUUCCUAGUGUAGCGGUGAAAUGCGUAGAUAUUAGGAGGAACACCAGUGGCGAAGGCGACUUUCUGGACUGUAACUGACACUGAGGCACGAAAGCGUGGGGAGCAAACAGGAUUAGAUACCCUGGUAGUCCACGCCGUAAACGAUGAGCACUAGGUGU
rnacentral:rRNA from 1 species